AUGUAUGGGGGCUGACGCCUGCCCAGUGCCAGAAGGUUAAAGAAGUUGGUUAGCAUUUGCGAAGCUGAUGACUGAAGCCCUGGUGAACGGCGGCCGUAACUAUAACGGUCCUAAGGUAGCGAAAUUCCUUGUCGGGUAAGUUCCGACCUGCACGAAUGGCGUAACGACUUCCCCGCUGUCUCCAACAUCGACUCAGCGAAAUUGAAUUGCCUGUCAAGAUGCAGGCUUCCCGCGGUUAGACGGAAAGACCCCGUGCACCUUUACUACAGCUUCACACUGGCAUCAGGCCAAGCAUGUGCAGGAUAGGUGGUGGGCUUUGAAGCAGAGACGCUAGUCUUUGUGGAGCCUCCCUUGAGAUACCACCCUUGCUUUGUUUGAUGUCUAAC
rnacentral:rRNA from 16 species